rnacentral:misc_RNA from 1 species
ACUAGCUCUUGCUUUUGUCCAGUGAAUGUUGUAUUUCAUCUGAUGACACGGAGAUGAUUAUGUCAUGGCGUGAAUGCUGAACAGUUGGGAAGAGAACAGACCGUUAGAUGCUUCUUUAUGUCGUAAAAUAAUGUCAGUUAAACCUGACUAGUUUUCCAACUGUUAUCGCUUCUCAGGUAUUUUGUCGCCUAAUAUCUAAAAAUCGCACGGACUUUUAAAAGCAAAAAACUUACCUGCCUACACAGUAUAUGGAUGCACAAAUUUUCAUUGGAGACCAAAGACCAAAGGAAAGGAUUUGGCUCCGGAAUCUUCAUAUCAUACCCUGGACACGAGUACUCGUGUGUUCAAGUUAAAAGAGCCAUAAUGGCUGAUGAACGGUUGGAAAAGGAAGUUACCACACUGUUGCUUACAGAGUUUGACGGAAGAGCAAAGUUUGGAAAACUCAGAAGGAGUUUGUACCAGAAUAAAACUGUCAGAGACAUUGGCCUUCGUUCCGCUUUGAGGCGGAUAUCAAACAUAAACAAGUUCUUAGUCUUUGAAAAGAAUAACAACGUAAAAUGUUUGUCUGUCUUCUGCAAGGAUGCAAGUAUUUGCUGUGGAUAUCGCAGGAGAGGAUGCGAAACGUGCAAAAAGGAAAACUGCCAUAAAUUCCACGUGUGCAAAGACUUCAUCAGCGGCAGCUGCACGAGAAGAUUCAGAUGUCCUUUUGGACACGACCUUAGUAACGAAGCCAACAGGAGGUUGUCAGACAGGUUGGGUCUGUCUUCUUUUUCAUGUGAAGACAUCCGCACCAUUAUACUUUGCAGCCAACCAGCCGUGUGCGAGGAGUACAACACGGAUGGUUGUGAUGACGAUGACUGUCCAGACCUUCACGUCUGCUCUCGUUUCAUCAAACAGAAAUGUACAGCUGGGGGUUACUGUAAGUUUGAACAUUCUAUUAAAAGGUCCGACCAUAAUAAGUGGGUUCUGGACACCUUUAAUGUCAGCCAUUUGACGGAGGAAGAGUUAAGGGAGAUUAUACUAGUAAGAGUUGUUUCUGACAGGGAUAUGGGACUACAAUCGCAGAUGACACCAGCUUCAUCGACGCUGAGUCUCAUGAGUAGUUUCUCUGCGACGUCGACGAUGUCAUUGGCAACAGACAACACAGACGAAAGCGUUGUCGAUGUUUUCAGCUUCCUGCUGAAGCGUUUCAGUGGGCGAGCUAGAUUCAACACCUUUUUGACGGAAAGAGGCCAUCUUUUAGGACAUAUGGGGCGAGCGGCCAUCAUCGACUGGUUAAAGGACAAUAAAGGCCGAUUUCUUUUGUACGUACAGAGAAGUAAUUUAAAUUACGUUUCUGUUUACAACAGCCGAGCUAGGGCGUGCUUCAGGUUCUACGACCCCAGAAAGUCGGGCUGUGAUAAUAAGUCUUGUAAGUACUUCCACGUCUGUCGACAGUUUGUCGCAGGUGACUGUGUCAGCACCCUAUGCAACUACAGUCAUAGUUUCUCCUCCGGGUCAAAUGCCAAGGUGCGUUCGGAUUUGAAACUGGAUGAGUUCACUGACAGCGAAAUCUGCGCGAUCAUUCGCUGUAGUAAUCCAACCAUCUGUGUCAAUCAUAACACAUCAGGCUGUCACCUGGAUGAUUGCCCGGACCUCCAUGUUUGUUCCAAGAACACUUUCAACCAGUGUACCAGUGGCGAUGGCUGCAAGCUUGGUCACGUGAUACGAGAUUCAGGAGAACACAACGUCUACGUGUUGAAGACGUUUCAUAUGACACGUGGCGAGAGGACGUCCUUCGCAGACUCGUCAUCGCCAAGAAGGGAGAGCACAUAGAAACGCAAGAGAAUGUAGGUGCCUCUGCUAUACAGAGAGCGCCAUCUGUAGGUCAGCUACAGAAAGCCAUCAGCACCCUCGACCUCUCCAAAUCGGUGAACGACAAAGAUAUCUUUCCCGGAAAGUACGAAUACAUUUGUGCAAAGUACACCUGGACAGGUGCGUGUCCCAACAUUCCGUUCUGUCCACAUUAUCAUCACCCUGACCGCCUGCCAUACCUGUGGCUGACUGCAGAGGAUGGACAAUGGCGAAGAAUCCCCACAAGCGACGGUGUCCAGCUGGAGACACGCUUCUGUGAAUAUGAUGAUGUCUUCAAA